GUGUUURGUUUUGAGGGAGCGAAUGGUUCGAAAGAACUGUUGGCGAACUCAAGGACCUUGGCAACUGCAUAUGAAAUGACCUUGCAACCUGGUAACCGAAGGAUGGGAACAGGUAGAGUGGUGAAGUUAGGAAGAGCGCACGGAGGAUGCCUAGGCGCCAAGAGCCGAAGGACGGGGCGAAC
rnacentral:misc_RNA from 1 species